rnacentral:lncRNA from 1 species
AGACAGCACACACACAGAACAUUUUCAUCAUCCAAGGACAUGUCAUCAAAGUUCCAUCUCACAGCUGAGCUCUGGAGAAAGCUGGCUCAGCAUUCUGAUUCCCAUAAAGAUCUCACAGUUAUUCACAGGACCUCCUGUGUCAGACCUUGCGCUGGGCACUGGGAGCGCAGAAAUGAACCUAAGACGGUCUCAGCCUUCAAUGACCAUUUACAGGGUGGAGGUGGACUACACGGGGUUGCCCCAGGGGCCAUGGGUGCCCUGAGGUGACCCCUUCUUCAGCCCUGGGAGAAAAGGCUCCUCCUUCGAGGCGGUGACGCCUGAGCUGAGUCACGCAAAGAAGUUGGGGGAAAGAGGGAAAUAGGAUUCCAAGACGAGGGAACACUUGACGGCUCUGAAGUGGGGAGCAGCUUGGCCUGUACAAUGGAACCUGAGGCCUGGUAUGACUGGGGCAUAAGCGGUGAGGCCUGAAUGCACAAGCCGAGGUGGAAAUGUGAGCAAGCGGCAGAAUAUGAAAACCUCUAAGCCGAAAAGCGUUUGGGCAUUAUUCUGAGGGCGCUGGGAAAGAAGUGGCGGGAUCGUAUCGGUGUUUCAGAAACCCCAUUCUGGCACCAAAGGGGAGGUGCACAGAAGGUAGGGGGAAAAGGCAGGAAGCCGGCGCAUCUCGCCACAGCGCUGGCGGGGAGACCAGCUGACGGGCGUGGAGGCGGCGGGGAGCGGGCGGAGGAGCUGGCGGGCGCUCCGGGGGACUCUGAGUGUCAGAUUUCGGGAGUGACUCCGGCUCAGGUGAAAGCGAGGCCAGACACUCCAAGGCUGCGGCCCCGAUGACACAGCCAGGCCUCACGGAAGGUGGGCAACGGAGUCCGUAGGGGGAGGCGACACGGGACCCCCACUCCCGCGCUGCGGGACGCGCCGCCCUGCC